AGGCCAUCUGUGUUUACCAGAAAGGGCCAUUUUUCCAUCCCCCUGACGUCCAGGAAGGCACUCAAGAAGGAACGGAGCGUGCCUCCCUCCGGGCCUGUCCCCCGUCCCUGCCAGCAGGCCCAGCUGGCUGCGUUCUGAGAUCAAGCGCUUUGAAGAACGGGGCCACUGCUUCCUUCACCAGGGCCUGGAAACGCCCAGCCGAGCCGUGGCUGCAGUGCGAACCCGUUUCCUUUCAGGUGAAAAGGUGUUGCUAAGACUAACAGGAUGCAUCAGUGCUUGUCUUUUCCAGAAACCAACCAGCCACAUAAGAAAUCUUUAAUUAACAAACAUAUUUAUAAGAGUGGAAAAAAUCAGGUGCUGUGUUUAGCGAUGUCAGAGGCCUAAUGGAGGAACUGAGGUGUCGUCACAAGGCCUUCCAGACCUGAACUCCAUGAGCCACCUUCGCUGCCGACAAGCAUUCAGCACGAAGCAUCUCCAACAAUGGCAAUGGCCAAAGCCUCUUCCAGUCUCUGCCAAAUUCCACCUGCAAGAAGCUCUCCAUGUCGUCUGAGUCCCCCAGGAGCUGCCCACCCAGCCACGACACUGAGGAGAAGGAGCAGGCAGAGGCAAACGAGGCUCGCGGUGGGUCGUGACUUGCGCACGGCCACACAGCUGCCGAGAACAAGACAGGGCGAACCAGGAAGUCAGACAGCAGGCUGUCUACGCAGAACCUCUUCAUCAGUAUGGCAUGCUGCCCUCUAACAUGCUGCCGACAACGUCUAGCUUCGUCUUAGCACACAGGAGGCCCAUGAAGCAACCUUCUCAUUAAUCUCUCCACUCUCUCGUCCAACAGGGAAAAGUGAGGCCCAUUUCAGGGAGUAGAGAGGUUUCAGAUGAUGACUGACAGAAUUUUAGAGUCAGCCUGGCCCGGGAGAAAUUGCAAAGUCUCUAGAGUCCGGCAGUCAUCCACACCUCAGCCCACCUACUUUCUGUGGGGGAGUCAGUUGUGAGGUCUUAAUAAGAGACCAAUGUAUGCAAAGCACCUGACACAUAGUAGGUAUUAAAUAAUAGCAAUAGCAAUAACCACAUUUAUACAGGGCUGUUGAUGUGCCAGGCAGCAUUCUGAGCCCAUCCUUAAUGUUAACUCCUAAUCCUCACAUUGACUCUAAGAGGCAAUAGCAAUAUUCUCCCAUUCGACAGAUGAGGAAACUGAGGCACAAAAAUGAUUAAGAAACUUGCAUAGUGUCACACAGUAGGGGGUGGGGUGGCUAGGAUUUGAACCCUAACCCAGAGACAGGGCCCUAAACCAGUGUAUUAUAUUGCGCCCUUUUGCAAGCUGUUCCCCAGCCCUCACCCCCCCGUAAAACAGAACUAUAGUCACGCGCCGCAGAAGGAUACUUCAGUCAAUGGCAGACCACACGGACAACGGUGGUCCUCUAAUAUCAG
rnacentral:lncRNA from 1 species